rnacentral:tRNA from 1 species
GUUUUUGUGGCUUAUUUAAAGUAUCAUAUUGAAGCUAUGAAGAUGGAAUUACCCCUAAAAUA